rnacentral:rRNA from 1 species
UACAGAGGUGGCAAGCGUUGUUCGGAAUUACUGGGCGUAAAGGGCGCGUAGGCGGCCUUCUAAGUCAGACGUGAAAUCCCCAGGCUUAACUUGGGAACUGCGUCUGAUACUGGGAGGCUUGAAUCCGGGAGAGGGAUGUGGAAUUCCAGGUGUAGCGGUGAAAUGCGUAGAUAUCUGGAGGAACACCGGUGGCGAAGGCGGCAUCCUGGACCGGUAUUGACGCUGAGGCGCGAAAGCCAGGGGAGCAAACGGG